UACAGAGGUGCCAAGCGUUAGGCGGAAUCACUGGGCUUAAAGCGCGUGUAGGUGGGUCGUUAAGUGUCCGCGUGAAAUCCCACGGCUCAACCGUGGAACUGCCGGGCAUACUGGCGAUCUUGAGGCAUUCAGGGGCGAGCGGAACAAAUGGUGGAGCGGUGAAAUGCGUAGAUAUCAUUUGGAACGCCAAUGGUGAAAACAGCUCGCUGGGAAUGAUCUGACACUGAGACGCGAAAGCCAGGGUAGCAAACGGG
rnacentral:rRNA from 1 species